AUUUCGUUAUAGUUCGUUACCAAAGAUCUAAACCGGAAACUGGACCGUUACCCAUCCACGUUUUAUUACUACAUCUGUCUAUUACAAUUUACAUUAUUUAAUUUAAACAGUAUUUUAUUAUGAAAAUCCACAAUAGGAUUGGACAGCAGGCACUGCCUAUAUAGGUCCUCUCCGUACAUACUCCGUAGUGUACAAUUUUCUGGGACUACUUUCCCUACAAAUAAAGACACUAUCGCAGGCUUUUCGAACUUCUACAGAAAAGCGCAGCAAGUAUAUUGGAGAUGUAGCGUAACGGAUUAUAGUGAGGUGACCGGAGCUUGUUUUAUUGUAAACCCCGUACAAUAGAUCCCCCAUCAUCAGUCCAGGAAGUGGUUGUGUUUGUUUGCUGGCCUGUUGUGUACGUGAUCUGCCUUCUGAAUGAGCGCUAUUUGUCUAGUUAAUGGACACUUGACAUAGAAACUCCGAAACAGAAUCCGCAUUGUCAUGCAGUUAAUUAAGGGAAUCUAGGACUUUGAAGUCACACGUUCCAAAAUAUGAACACAGAUUAUGAAAAACCAAAAAAUAAUGAAAUUUUAAAAUACAGGGAUGAGUAUUUUGUCAACGAAACGCCCAACGUGCGUUGAUGCACAGAGUGUCUUAAUGAUCAAUAUAUGCAAAUCAGCAUUGUGGGAGUUUUAUCAUGAAUAAAUCAAAAUCCUGUUCAUCCUUUGAAAUCAAAAGCUAUAUGUGUUGUACUCAUUGAAAACGAGCCGCUUUUUCUAUUAAGAUUUUGAAUAAUUUGUGUGUGCGCAAGUACUUCAUAUUAGUUGCUGUAACCUAGCUUUUCUGUACCAGACAAACCGACACAGGAAUGUUGGGUAAUUUAACGCGCCUUCUAUCAUGACGGAACACCUUUUCCUGUCCUGAAAUAAAAAUGAUAAUUGAAUUAUGAUGUGAAUCAUAUAGGACUCCAAAAGUCGAGUCUCUAGACGGAGGAAACGCUCAAAACACAUAAUCAAAAUAGACCCGAGGGUUUGAUAAAAAUGUGUUUUUAUUAACGAAUUAUGACUUUUAUAUAGAAAAUUCAGAAUGACGCUUGACGUAAAAUGGAUAGGAUUUCGUGAAAAAUGCUGUUUAUUGCCUUCUCUCGUGUGCGUUUUAUUUCUGUAUAGUGUUAAAAAGGUUCACCAUACUUCAAAUCCUCAAAAACUCUUUUACCAUACAUUGACACGGAAUAAAUCUGGACCUUGU